rnacentral:rRNA from 1 species
CACGUAGGGCGCAAGCGUUGUCCGGAAUUAUUGGGCGUAAAGAGCUCGUAGGCGGUCUGUUGCGUCUGCUGUGAAAACCCGGGGCUUAACCCCUGGCUUGCAGUGGAUACGGACAGACUAGAGGUAGGUAGGGGAGAAUGGAAUUCCACGUGUAGCGGUGAAAUGCGUAGAGAUGUGGAGGAACACCAAUGGCGAAGGCAGCCUUCUGGGCCAACACUGACGCUCAUGCACGAAAGCGUGGGGAGCAAACAGG